UCCACUGUAGUCUAGUUGGUUAGGAUAUGUGGUUUUCACCCACACGACCCGGGUUCAAAUCCCGGCAGUGGAA